CAGAAAACAACUGAUCCAAGUGUUUUGUCUGUGGUGGUAGGAAGGAUUUAAAGUAUAGAUCUACACCAGUUAAAUGAACAAUGUUGGGUCCCUUUGGAUAGCCAGACUGUGCUUGUUGGUCUCUGGACCAUAAAAUGCUCCCUGAUGUGAUUUAGACCACUAGAAGAGGUGUGGCUGAAACACGUUGGGCUGUGUUCAGGUAUUCAGGGCAGAUCCUUCUUCAACUGAGAACAGUUGAGGUAAAUUGUAAGAGGCAGAAGGAAUACACGAGAUCUUCGAUGCAGAUCAGGCAUGUGAGCUUCAGCCGUUCUGAGAACAGCCUCGCCAGAGCAAAAAAUCCAGUUCAAGAGAGGAACGCAGCAGGCAGAGCUGCUGAGUCAUUCCUCAGCCCUCCUCGGGUAGCCUUGCAGCAACCAGGGGAUCAAAGGGAUUGUCUGACCAGGCCUGUUCUACUGGCUUGUCCUAUGGAUCCAAAGCAGGAAAGAUCCCAGUGCUGACUGCCAGAUCUCUUCCAUCGCUCUGGAAGGAGUGUUACAGAGAACACAGAACUGUUGGUGAAGAUGAAAACAGGACUGCUGUCUUUUGUUUUGACUCUUUGCUGUGUUCUGGGAUCACAGGUGUUACUACAAGGUACAGACAAAUGAGAUUCCUCAUCAGUAACUUCACAGAUCUGCAAUUUACUUCUGAGGAAUCAUCCUGGACCCAUUUUACAGUCCAACAAUAUACUUUCCUCUAAAUUGGCAUUGGCAUCCUUUUGGAGUAUGCCCUAGAAGACUCCAUUUGUCUUCACAGACCCUAAUGGACUUCAGCAAAUAGCAGAGAGAGACAUUUAUGCAUGAGGACGGUUAUGUCAUCUGGCUGGUGUAAAUCUCCUGCUUCCUUGUGUGCUGUGAGCAAGCUCUGCUGUUGUGAAGAGGCAGUUUGGCUUGGUGCUGCUACCCAGAGCAAGAGAAAGAGCACUGAGCCCCCCAGAAUCCACCCACACUGUUUCUGCUGCUGUGUUCAAAAAGCCACGGGGCUCUGGGCCCUUGCUGGCAGGAUGGGAGGGACAAGGAACAGCCCUGCAGGUUGGUGACAGAAGGUUUAGCAAAGGGCUCCUGGAAGCCUUCCCUCUGCCAUACUUCCACACGGCGAAUGUUCCCGUUACUACUUGCAAGCUGGUCGCAGAGCACAGCAAAUACCAGGUACAAUAAAGACCCAGACAGCAGAACGGAGUAUAAAUAGAUGAUGGAAUUCCUGGCAUCAGCUCUGGAGCAGUUUGGGACUGGAACGAGUGAAAAAUACAGUUUCUCUAAAAGGGAAAUUUCCUGCGAGUAAAAGCCAAAUGUUCCCCCUUGCUCCCCCUCCUUCUUUCCCCAGAUUCCAGUUUUUCACUGGGGAGAAUCCAAGUGUUUCAAGUGAGCUCAAGCAGAAUUUCGCUGUGUUGAACUGGCCUGAUUUGGGAUGCAAACCGACCUCUGAAAGGCUGAAAUUUCCCGUGGGAGCAGAAAUUCGGAAUUUUGCUCAGCUCCAGUUACUCUGUGCAUGGAAAUGGCUUCCAGCAAACAAACAGCGCAGACAGGAGAUGCACCCGGUAAGUAGGUUAAGCUGGAACGGGUUCCCUGGUGGCAGUUCCUCUUCCUCUCUUCUGCCCAGGGUAACCUGGGAAGGGAGCAGCUCUGCAGAGUGGGCAGCGAUGACCUCCCCUGCAAGGCAAAGGGAAGCAUACAUAGCUUUAAGCUCAGAAAUCUAUUCCUACAGUGGUCAUGUACACCGCAGGACAGGUUGAUCUGACCUGAAUGUGCUCCGCUGACCUCAAGAGAGCGCCCCACCGAAAGGGUCACCGCAUCCUCUAUGCGAAAACAUGCAAUUUUCCAGCAAAAAGAAAACCCAAAGAUUUUGUGGUCUGCCCCACAGAACCCCAUCCCUGGAGGCAUUCAAGGCCAGGCUGGAUGUGGCUCUGGGCAGCCUGGGCUGGUGGUUGUUGACCCUGCCCAUGGCAGGGGGGUUGAACCUAGUUGAUCUUUGAGAUCCUUUUCAACUCAGGCUAUUCUAUGAUUCUAUGAUAACAGCCUUUCUCAGGCUGUUGGAUGGCUGCAGUCCUCUACCUCUUGUCUGAGCACUGCAAAGUGCCCUGCAAACAAUUAAGUCUCACAAUCCCCUA
ensembl:lncRNA